UUGCACAUGCGCAUUGAGGAUAAUACCUGGGAUCUUUGCUUUUGCGGCUUUGCAUGCGCAGACGUGUGGAAAAACUAAAAGUGACAGUAGUAGUAAGUAAAUGAGCAAGCUAGACUGAUUUUUUGUCUCUUCGCAAGGUUUACAGUAAGUUUGAGACAGAAUAUUGUUACAGGAGUAGAGCAGCUCCUUUCAGGAAUAGCUCAGUACGUAGGUUGUGUCCGUAGCGGGCGAGAGAGAGAGAGCGGUGAGGCUAGCGACCGCAUAGGAGAGUUAGCUAGUUAGUUAGCCUGUUAGCAGUAUGCUCUGUAGAAGUGAAUGUAUGUGCACUUCAGGCUGUUUGUCGGGAAAUGAAUGCUACAACUCCUCAAGAACCAAGUUCCUGCGUCUUCCCUUUGCAUCCCAACUGCAGUCCAGACAUGAGUCGGGAAGAUUAACAACACUGAAACAGACAGGAAAGAGAAAGGUGAAGAUGUUCAGGCAGAGAGCAGCAAAAUGCAGAAGUCUUUCAGCACAGGAAACACAGGCACAAAAAGAGAGAUUUGCUACUGCUUCUGUCAUGAAAAGAGGUGAAACGAUGGGAACAGACAUUACCGUCGGAGGAAGACGGGUUAGCAGGCAGGCGGCAGGAUAUCCCAUCACAUUAGAACUUCUGCUGCACCCACUUCCUUCAUCUCUCCCCAGCAGCUGGAUCCAG